rnacentral:rRNA from 1 species
GGGUACUGGUGGGCUACCGAGCGGAGAAUAAGGCGCAACCCUAUCAGCUUGUUGGUAGUGUAAAGGACUACCAAGGCUAUGACGGGUAACGGGAAAUCACGGUGUUUGAUUCCGGAGAGGGAGCCUGAGAGAUGGCUCCCACGUUCCAGAGGAACGGCAGCAGGCGCGAAACUUGUCCACUCCUUACUGGGGAGACAGUCAUGAGACGUGAGUAUAAGACCUGAGUGUAAAGACCUUAGGGUGAAGCAAUUGGAGGGCAAGCUUUGGUGCCAGCAGCCGCGGUAACUCCAACUCCAAGAGUGUCUAUGGUGGAUGCUGCAGUUAAAGGGUCCGUAGUCGUGAAUGCAAUUAAAUGUCGUUGUUCAAUAGCGAUGAGUUUGCUAAUGUUUGCGGAACGGUGGGGGGGGGGGGGGUUUAGUA